rnacentral:tRNA from 1 species
GAGCGAGUCUCGUUGACUUAACGAAACUUGCCUCUUAAGCAGGGUGUCGAGGGUUCGAGCCCCUCCUGGCCCUCCA